GCUUUCAUCGUCUAGUGGUUAGGACACCAGUUUGUGGUUAACCGCAUUCAAAACACUGGAAACGGCCGUUCGAUUCUGCCUGGAAGCA